AUUGAACGCUGGCGGCAUGCCUUACACAUGCAAGUCGAACGGCAGCACGGGAGCUUGCUCCUGGUGGCGAGUGGCGAACGGGUGAGUAAUGCAUCGGAACGUGCCCUGAAGUGGGGGAUAACGUAGCGAAAGUUACGCUAAUACCGCAUAUUCUGUGAGCAGGAAAGCAGGGGGUCGCAAGACCUUGCGCUCUGGGAGCGGCCGAUGUCGGAUUAGCUAGUUGGUGGGGUAAAGGCCUACCAAGGCGACGAUCCGUAGCGGGUCUGAGAGGAUGAUCAGCCAC
rnacentral:rRNA from 1 species